rnacentral:rRNA from 1 species
UACAGAGGUGGCAAGCGUUGCUCGGUAUCACUGGGCUUAAAGGGCGCGUAGGCGGUGCGGUACGGUUUCGGUGAAAUCCCUCGGCCCAACCGAGGAACAGCCGGGGCUACGGCCGUGCUAGACGGCAUCAGGGGACAGUGGAACUCCCGGUGGAGCGGUGAAAUGCGUAGAUAUCGGGAGGAACGCCGAUGGUGAAGACAGGUGACUGGGCUAGUUCUGACACUGAGGCACGAAAGCGUGGGGAGCGAACGGG